GGGCCCGCACAAGCGGUGGAGCAUGUGGUUUAAUUCGAUGAUACGCGAGGAACCUUACCAGGGCUUAAAUGUAGAGUGACAGGUCUAGAGAUAGAUUUUUCUUCGGACACUUUACAAGGUGCUGCAUGGUUGUCGUCAGCUCGUGCCGUGAGGUGUCAGGUUAAGUCCUAUAACGAGCGCAACCCUUGUCGUUAGUUGCCAGCAAGUAAAGUUGGGGACUCUAGCGAGACUGCCGGUGCAAACCGAGAGGAAGGUGGGGAUGACGUCAAAUCAUCACGGCCCUUACGUCCUGGGCUACACACGUGCUACAAUGGUAUGGACAAUGAGCAGCCACUACGCGAGUAGGAGCG
rnacentral:rRNA from 1 species